rnacentral:rRNA from 1 species
CCUACGGGAGGCAGCAAUAGGGAAUAUUGCUCAAUGGGGGAAACCCUGAAGCAGCAACGCCGCGUGGAGGAUGAAGGUUUUCGGAUUGUAAACUCCUUUUGUUAGAGAAGAUAAUGACGGUAUCUAACGAAUAAGCACCGGCUAACUCCGUGCCAGCAGCCGCGGUAAUACGGAGGGUGCAAGCGUUACUCGGAAUCACUGGGCGUAAAGCGCGCGUAGGCGGGAUAGCAAGUCAGAUGUGAAAUCCUAUGGCUUAACCAUAGAACUGCAUUUGAAACUGUUAUUCUAGAGUAUGGGAGAGGUAGGUGGAAUUCUUGGUGUAGGGGUAAAAUCCGUAGAGAUCAAGAGGAAUACUCAUUGCGAAGGCGACCUGCUAGAACAUAACUGACGCUGAUGCGCGAAAGCGUGGGGAGCAAACAGGAUUAGAUACCCCAGUAGUC